GCGGCGGACGGGUGAGUAACGCGUGGGUAAUCUACCUCGUAGUUCGGGAUAACAGGCCGAAAGGCUUGCUAAUACCGGAUGAGUUCAUGCUUAUGCAUAUAGGCAUGAAGAAAGGGCUAGCCCGCUAUGAGAUGAGCCCGCGUCCCAUUAGCUUGUUGGUGGGGUAAUGGCCUACCAAGGCAACGAUGGGUAGCCGGCCUGAGAGGGUGUACGGCCACACUGGGACUGAGACACGGCCCAGACUCCUACGGGGGGCAGCAGUAGGGAAUUUUCGGCAAUGGGCGAAAGCCUGACCGAGCGACGCCGCGUGAGGGACGAAGGCCUUCGGGUUGUAAACCUCUGUCUGGGGGGAUGAGAACGGACGGUACCCCCGGAGGAAGCCCCGGCUAACUACGUGCCAGCAGCCGCGGUAAUACGUAGGGGGCUAGCGUUGUCCGGAAUUACUGGGCGUAAAGGGCGUGUAGGCGGUCGUGCAAGUCGGUUGUGAAAGUCUAGG
rnacentral:rRNA from 1 species